GUGUCCUACGGGGGGCAGCAGUGGGGGAUAUUGCACAAUGGGGGAAACCCUGAUGCAGCAACGCCGCGUGAGUGAAGAAGUAUUUCGGUAUGUAAAGCUCUAUCAGCAGGGAAGAGAAUCACGGUACCUGACUAAGAAGCCCCGGCUAACUACGUGCCAGCAGCCGCGGUACUACGUAGGGGGCGAGCGUUAUCCGGAUUUACUGGGUGUAAAGGGAGCGUAGACGGCUGGUCACGUCUG
rnacentral:rRNA from 1 species